rnacentral:piRNA from 1 species
UNGAUAUUGGUAGAGGUAUUUCAGGACUGG